ncrna:unclassified sequences Streptococcus sRNA SpF59 (ldcC RNA)
GGACCACUCCGCACAGGAGUCGAGGCCAUACGGACAGCCGGGUCCACUGCCGA